rnacentral:tRNA from 1 species
GCACUGGUUUUUCAGUGGUAGAAUUCUCGCCUUCCAUGUGGGAGACUUGGGUUCAACUUCUGACCAACGCG